rnacentral:rRNA from 1 species
UACGGGGGGGAGCAAGCGUUGUUCGGAUUUACUGGGCGUAAAGGGCGCGUAGGCGGUCGUGACAAGUCACUUGUGAAAUCUCCGGGCUUAACUCGGAACGGUCAAGUGAUACUGUCGGACUAGAGUACAGAAGGGGCAACUGGAAUUCUCGGUGUAGCGGUGAAAUGCGUAGAUAUCGAGAGGAACACCUGCGGCGAAGGCGGCUCACUGGUCCGGUACUGACGCUGAGGUGCGAAAGCGUGGGGAGCAAACAGG